GCCGCAGUAGCUCAGCUGGAAGAGCGCCCGGCUGUUAAACCCUUUGCAGUAACCGGGCGGUCAGAGGUUCGAAUCCUCUCUGCGGCG
rnacentral:tRNA from 1 species